rnacentral:lncRNA from 1 species
UACUCCUACACAAUGAUAUAAUUUAUCGUGCUUGGUUUGUACAUUUAAUAUUAUGUUGACGAUUGUGAACUUCAGAUACUUAGUCUCUAUAAUAGAUGAUGCAAAGUGGUUCAGUACAAAUUGACCUUUGCUAAACUCUAUUUUCCAAAAUAAAAAGAAACUAUCUAUAAUAAACACAAAAUUCUCUCCUAAAAAAUUAGGUCAUCCAAAGUCCCCCCAUGAUAAACAAC